rnacentral:rRNA from 1 species
AUGACUUGGACAUGUCUGAACUAUACCUCAAUGGCCGUAGAUACACAUGGUCAAACGAGCGUAUGGAGGCAACGCUUGAGAAGUUGGAUAGAGUUUUGGUCUCAGUGGAGUGGGAGGAGCUGCAUCCAUCGGCAUUCCUUUCGGCGCUCACCACAAAUGUUUCAGAUCAUUGCCCACUCCACUUGGUCCUAG